CUACGGGCGGCAGCAGUGGGGAAUAUUGGACAAUGGGGGAAACCCUGAUCCAGCAAUGCCGCGUGUGUGAAGAAGGCCUGCGGGUUGUAAAGCACUUUCGGUUGGGAGGACUGCUUCUAGCACUAAUAUUGUUGGAAGUUGACGUUACCUUCAGAAGAAGCACCGGCUAGCUCCGUGCCAGCAGCCGCGGUACAUACGGGGGGUGCAAGCGUUAAUCGGAAUUACUGGGCGUAAAGCGCGCGUAGGCGGCUAGAUCAGUCGGGUGUGAAAGCCCCGGGCUUAACCUGGGAACUGCAUCCGAUACUGUCUAGCUUGAGUACAGGAGAGGAGAGUGGAAUUCCACAUGUAGCGGUGAAAUGCGUAGAUAUGUGGAGGAACACCAAUGGCGAAGGCAGCUCUCUGGCCUGAUACUGACGCUGAGGUGCGAAAGCGUGGGGAGCAAACAGGAUUAGAUACCCCAGUAGUC
rnacentral:rRNA from 1 species